rnacentral:misc_RNA from 1 species
AACAACUAAGCCUUUAUCCCAAAUAAGUUCACAAAUAGGAUGCAUAAGUUGACAUCAAAACAAUAAAUUUUAAAUUUGCAUAUAACUGUAUAUCCAAAUAUGCAGCAACAAGUCAAAGUCCACACAAUUCUAUUCUACAAUGUUUUCUCCAAACAUCAAAGUUAAAGCACUUUUUUAAUGAGAUUCAGAAAUCUAUUACUUAAAUAGUCCUUUCUUCAGUUGAAAUUUACUUAAACUACAUCACACUUAAUCAAAUCAAGCAUUAUUUCCUAAAUGAACAUUUUUG